GUACACUAACUAAGGAAGUAGACGCACGGCAAGCAUUAUUUGAACCAUCAGCUGACUGGCGGACACUAUGACGUCACUAGUGUUUAUUGUGGUGGCUUGUGGUGCGAGUGAGUCGGUUGUCCUGGAAGUGUUGGCAGAUAUUUAUCAGGUUACUAUACUUAUGGGCUUAAGUGCUACUUUUUUUUGGUGAUAUGGGCAAGGCGAGAGUGUGUGCAGUGUAUGGAUGUACUCCAGGAAAGGAUACAGACCUUAGAUAUUACAAAUUUCCGAAGGAUGAUAGCCUUGCAGAACAGUGGGUCCACAAGUGUUGCCGAUCAGAUAAGAUCAAUAGAAAAACGCAGUAAUUUGUGCGACUCACUUCAGCAAAGCCCAGAUUCGAAGGAAUCUGAAAAGUGAACUUUUGAAUUGCACAAUUCCACGGAAUUGGCGAAAUUCAAAAGAAAAUGCAGUGCCUGAUCAGUAUCUGCCUUCACGGAAAGGAUACCAACAGAAUGGGAUUGACCUAACUUCAGCUCUAAAAGAAUCCAGCCGCCAUAAUCGAGCUGAAAAAAGGAAGCUGAGAAAGAUGAUUCAAUAUAUUUUAUCCACUCAAGGUGAUAGUUGUGACCUGGGGAGUGGCCAAGAAAUAUGUGAUCGGGAGAACACAGCACCAUCAACACCAUGUGAU